rnacentral:lncRNA from 1 species
ACCAGGAGAUUUGGCCGAGGAGGCAGGCGGUGGAGCCGUAGACGAGGGAGACGAGCAAGAAGAAGAAGAAGAAGAAGACGGUGCUGUCGGCGCUCUGCAGGAUCUCGUAGCCGACCCCGUUGCUGGGGGCGAAGGACCGCUCGAGGAGGUCGGGAAAGAUGAGGAGGACGUCGAGGACGAUGGCCUGCAUCGUGUUGAACCGCACGUAGCCGCUGAAGCGGGAGGGGUUGCGCACCACCGCGAAGUAGAGGGUGAGGAAGAGGAGGAAGGGGGUGACCGGGGAGGAGCGGAAGAGCCGGAUCGCGGGGACGAGGGGCAGGAUUAGGGUUUGGAGGAAGGGGAACUGCGCGAGGACGAAGCCCCCGUACUGGACCCCGUCGAGGAAAGGGUAGAGGUAGCACGCGGCCGAGGAGGAAGUGGGUGACCGCGGUUGUAUAAUACCUAAUUAGUUGUAACUACAAAUUAUUUUUGUCUAACUUGCAAAUACUGAAGGCCCAAAAGAACUUACUACUACUAAUACAUUAUAUUUUCAUAAAAUUAGCAUACAUUGAUAUCUAGCUAGGCGUGGGCCUAACUAGUUUAGUCAUCAAAUAAUGCGACAACAAUACAUAGGUACAUAACUAUUUUAGUCCUUAAACAACAACACAACAACAAUACAUAGUUACUGACAAUGAAAACGGGAAUAUUCUCCCAGCAAGAGAGAAGCCCACAAAGCUCUUAUGGCUUUGCAGUGGUGUUGACUUUUUCGCAGCUCAUCGGGAUUGAGGGACAGCACGGGGGAUUAGGAGGAGGAUUAGAAAACACAGUUGUUGUUGCUGUCGCCGCCACCACCAGCAGCAGUAAAAACGUUACCAGGUGCUGCAUUACGACGGAGCGCAGGCUACAGGAGUAAAUCAUUUAUUUUGUUAUCUUAAAUUAAGAACACUAGGAAGAAAUUUUUUUUUUAAAAGAGAUAGGUAGCACACUACCUGUUAUAUUUAGAAAUAAACUUAGCUGGAAAUAUGAAUUAACUAGCUAGAAUUCGAACUUAGGAUCUCGAAUACCAACCAUCAAAUUCUUUGCCACUUAUUCUAGGAACAGUCGAUAACAUUAGUAAGAAGUUGAUUUGUUUUGUGUGUUAAAGUGGCCAAGGUAUGUGGUAUUUAUAGAUGGAGCAUAACUUUACAAUAUUUUGGGACAUUAAAUGAUCGCAGGCUGCACAAUUACUCUUGGACAUUAAAUUGCCCAUGUGUAAUCUGUUCUUUUUCCUUUUUGUCCGUCAGUAGCCUUUUGGGCUCUCUGCCUCAAGAUGGAAAAAAUGUAAAGCCUGCCAUAUAGCUGUUGCAUCAUUUAUCCGAUUUCAUCCACUCUUCCAGUUUGGGAAUGAGCUCUCUCACACUUUAGAUAUAGAAGACUCUUCUUCUCUUAUUUUCAAGUUGGUUAGUCUCCUAAUAAAUUCUCCAAUCUCCAACCACCCCCUAACAAUAUUAAUGCCGAUAUAAGAUAAGAUGGCCACUAGAUAUUCUCCAGCUAGUGGGUGAAUUUGUAUGUGAGCUCCUAUGAUACCGUAAAAUACGUAUAUCUACUGGCACUAUGAGGACUGCGCCGUACCAGCAUGAUCCACAUUAACUGCACUGAAACAAGAAAAGAACCAGUUCAGCCUGAUCCAAUUUUGAAUUCGGAUUGUCCUAGACAAGUUCCAUUUUUUUUGGACGUACAGCCUUGCAUGUCUCCCCGGCAACAACAACACCAUGCAGAUCCUUUAAAUUAAUAAAUCUGAGCCGACUCUUUAUGUUUUUUUUUUUUAUAUAAUUUGUUUAGAAUUAUAAAAAUUUUAAAAGAAAGGACCAAAUUACCUCUCAACAGUCAAAAAUUGGUCUUCAAAAUAUAUGUAAAGAAAUUUAUAUUUCUUUGGAAACUUUUAAAUUCUUUUGUUCUAUCUUUAAUUUUCUUAAGUAUUAUAAAAUAUAUUGUUAUAUAUUUUUAAAAAUUUUUAAAUAAUUUGUCAAUAAGUUUACUAUAUUUAUAAAAAAUAUAUAAAGUAAAAUUAAUAAAAAAAAAAGGUCAGUCCGUGCCUCAGUCGGCACGAAAUGCGCGACUUAUAUUACAUACGGAUCGUGACCGGCCCGGUCAUGUAAUCAAUUUACACCUACAAUCAAUCCUAUGAAAUAAUAUUUAUUUUCAAAAAAAAAUAGCAUGCUACCCCUUUAGCAUGUUAUAUAUUUUAUUUUUUAAAAAAAUAAAUUUAGUUAAAAAUAUGAAUUAAUUAGGAUUCAAACUAAAGACCCCGAAUACCAACCACAAGUCUUCGGCCACUUGCGCUAGGGACGAUCAAGACGAUCAGUUCCUACGAAAUAACGUUAACGAGCUGUUUCCUCGAUGCUGACUUUUGAAACAAUUUAAUAUAUCAAUUCAUUUUAAUAAAAGUUUUCAACUUAAUUCACAAAUUAUUGUAGGUUUUUAGACUAACAUUCAAGCCUAAAAUCUAGCACUACAGACAUUUUCGUAGCGUGGACUAAUUAAUGACUUUUUAUUUUUGGGUCUUUUCUUUGGGAGUGUUUGUAGGGGUGUAAUGUGGGCCGCGUCGGGCCGGCACGGCUCAAAUUUUUUGGGUCAAAACGGGUUAGCCUCCGGCCUGGCUCGGUCCUGAUUUAAUUUCGGGCCAGGCCGUGCUGGGCCCAAGUUCUCUACCCUAUGCACCGGCACAGUCCUUUGGUCCGGAAGGCACGGGCCAUACUGGGCCAGGCCGUGCUUCGGACCGGCCUACUAAAGUAUUUAUUUUUUAAUUUUUUUUAAACAAUUUAUUAUGAAAUUUAAAAAUAUAAAUAAUAAAUAUUUUUAUUUAAAUUAAUAUUUUGAUUAAAAUAUUAAAAACUUAUAAAAAAAUAUUAAAAUGAUCAAGCCCUCCUCCCCAGAAGAUCAGACCCCAUGGCCCAAUGCAAUUUGCCUUAGGCCAUGGGUGCGGACCGGAAUGGCUCGGCUGGCACGACCCAAGCCGGCCGUGCCGUGUCGACCCGCUUGCCUCUACUCUGCCUAGCACGGCCCAAGCCCGUUUCGGGCUGUGCCGUGCCAGCCGGGCUUGGGACGUGCCGGGACGUCGGGCUUCAAAGAGUUGGCCCAGCACGACCAAGAGCCUCGGGCUAGGCCGUCCCGGCACGGGUGCUACAGUACCCGUGCCUUGCUGUAGCCCGGCCUGAGGCCGUGCCGGGCAGGGCAGCCCAUGUGCCGCCCGGCUGUUUUACAUCCCUAAGUGUUUGGAAAGCAAAAAAAAAAUGACAGAAACUCAAUUUUCUUUUAAAACUUUUUAUCAAAUCCCAUCAUGCACAUACCCAUAUUUUUCUAUUUGCAUCAAUAAUUUUUUUUUCUUUUACAAAUUCUCACACUUCUAACUAUAUAAGAACAAAAUUUUUAAGAACUUUCUAAUGUAUAGAAAUGAAAAUCUCAAUUAGAAGUUAAGUACAAAAGUGAAUUUGUACGAUCAAAUAACAGAGAAUCUUGACCUUUUGAUUUAAAAAGUAAUUAAGUUGUUGAUAUUUCAGGCUUGAAUUUUUAAAUAACAUGAAUGGUAGAUUAUACAGUCUCACAAUGAGGACGAUCAUGUACAUUCUCAUACAUAAAUGAAGUUGAAUGAGAAGAUUAGUUGUUUGGAUUAGUUCACAGAAUUUUGACCGUAAAAUAUAAUAUAAUCCGCGCGGCGAAUCUUAAUGCAGAAGGGGGCAACCUUUAGCUUCAAUUCCUGGAGCUGUGGGGCAAAUAGCUAAGGGGCAAUGAUCACUCACAGCUUGCCCCCACCAGCCGAUCCCGUUGAUGCCAUUGAACUGGAAAAUACUCCCCAGCAAGGCCAUUAAUGCAACGCCGCAGGUGAGCGCGCUCGACAACAGGUAGUUGUAUCUACUCCACCACGCUCUCCACCUCCUAUACACCACAUAGUUGAAGAAAAACGCGACGAUAAACCAUGACCAGUAGUGCACAGGCUUCGCGAACGGCAUCUGCGUGGACGCUGCAAAAAUCAGCGGAACAUUGACUUGCCUGAUCCAUUCUUUUUUAGGAAAUACGCGCGAGAUGAUCCAAACCAAGACCGUCGCGGAGGCACCAUAGAGGAAGUAGUAGUAGAGGCUUGAGUAAGCGCUUAGGGAUCCGAAGAUGCGUGCCGGUCCAAUCACAGCCCAAAUGUUGAUGCUGCUGUUGAUUGCUGUUUGGCCCGGGCACGUCCAGGGGCUCCCCACUGGAAGCUUAUCGAGGUCGCAAAUGCCAUCGACUGUUGAAAGGAGCCACCAUGCUGUCGCAAAGUCUACCGAGCUUGCGAUCACCGUGCCGACAAUCUGCACGAGAGAUUGCCAUGUAUUAUCAUGAAACUUAUAAGGAGCGCAGAGUUGAAGCUGUUCGAUUAUGGACAUGUAUGUCUUAUUUCGAAUGUGUUUGGUGAAAUAUCACUGACCCAAAUAACCAAAUAACCAAAUGAUACUUUAAAAACAUAUAGGAAUUACCUGGACGAUGAACAUUGACCUCGGAGGGAUCUUCAUGUAGUGGCCAAACUUGAAAGAUUUUAGGAAAUUUAGUGCAAGUCCCAUGCAACUCGUAGCAUAGGAUUUGAAUGCAAAUGUUGCCAGGGGCUUUCCAGGAUACAAGUACCCACUAGUCAUUUCUGAAAUAAGAGCUAGAUCUAUACCCUGCAAGAGAGAUAGCUAAUUCGUAAUUUGUUCAGGUAUAUACACGCUCAUUAAAUAGUAAUGCUUUAUAUUAUUAUUUACCUAUCUUGUUUUCUUUUAUUUGCAUAAAAGAGAGACAAAUGAAACAUGACAUAAAUCACAUACGGACCAGUACACUUAAGUAAUUGCAAAAUAUGGAGAGAAACUAUAGUACUAAACCAAAUUAUCGGGGAAUUAUUGUAGUUACAUGCAAUGCAUGGGAUGCUUCAAUCAGGUUUAAUUCUGACUAUUAAAUGCACUUUCAAUUAAUACCCACACACACCUCUCUUUUUUUUUUUCGUGUGAAUUUCUGAGCCGGUGUUGGAUCCAAUCAUCAUGUCAUAUUAAUUAAUUCUAUGAGAUCUUAAACUUACCAUGCUUGUUGUAGCCUCGAGAACCCCGAAAGGUAGGAGGAGAAUAAAAACCAUGGCGCAUGCCAACAGGAUCCCCACAAAAGGAAGUUGGAAUUGUUUCCCGAAUCCUUCAACUGUUAGUAUUGAUAAACCAAGCAUCAUUAACAGUAGGACGAUAAACCACGAUUGCGGGAUGGACUUGUAGUUGUUCUUCAUCAAUCGAGUGUGAAUGUCAUCCGAUCUACUUGAACUCGAACUUGCUUGUUUGUACUGUCGCCAUAUCGACCUGCAACGACACAGAAUUCGCAUAUCGAAGGCAUAACUUGUGACUGCAGGAGUCGUCAUUUAUCCCAUAUACAGCUCGCAAAUAUAAAGCAUGCAGAUAAACACUUUUACCAUCCACUUUGACAAGAUAUACACAUAUAUACAAUUAGUCUAUUAUAUUAUUAAUAGUACUAUGUACUUGGUACUAUUAAAUUUUCGGUCCUUAGAUAAAGAGAUAUUCGGUUAGAAUGGUAGUAAUCUUUUAAAAUUGAGUGGGUGAUUGAUUUAGUAGUAUGAUCUAACGGACGAAAAUAAUCAAAAUGGUAAAUCUAACGAUAAAAAACUCUAUAACACCAAGUACAUAGUACUAUUAAUAAUAUAAUAGACNCUGGUAUGCUUCUAGAAGCAUGGAGCCCUCUGUGUGUGUAUAUAUAUAUAUAUAUAUCAUUAUUCAGAGACUAUUAUUAGUCAUAUCCUCAUGAAAAUUUGCAUCAAAAUGUUCCACUAGUGAAGAUACUCGUAGAAAAACUAAUAAAUAAUAAUUGAAGAAUUAGCAACAGGCAUAAAAAUAAAGAUAUAAGAAAAAUAAAAAAAAAAUUUUAAAAAAACUAUAAGAAUAAUAAAAUUAUAUUUAUAGUAAUAAUAAAAGUUGUGGAUUAAAAUAUCAUAUGAUCUCCAGUAAGAGCCAAAAAUCGCACCUAAUUAAAGUUUGAGAACUAAAACGUCAUGUACCUUAUAAUUUGAGCAAAAAAAUAUAACACAUUAAAAUUUGAGGACUAAAAUGUUACGAUUCUUAUAGCUUGAGACCAAAAGCAUAAUUUACCCUUUUUAUAUUUUAGAAUAUAUAACUGUUAAAAUUAUAAAUCGACCAAUCAUAUUUUGGAUAUUUUAAAAGAUUUUAAAUGUGAAAUUGAUCGAUCAUCGGACUAUAAAUAUGGCAUUAAAGUUUGAUAUUAAAAUCAAAACAAAAACGUAUAGAACUUUUUAGAACUAUGAACUAUUUUGAGCCAACUAUCCAACCUUUCAAAAUUUUAUUUUUACUAUCCAAUCUUUCUACAUAUAUAUUAAAAUAAAAUUAUACUUACAAUAUCAGAAAAAGUUAAGGAUUAAAAUAUCAUAUGCCUUAUAGAUAGAGUCAGAAAUUUCAACUAAAUAAAAUUUGAGGUCUAGAGUGCCACGUGCCUCAUAUUGUUUGAGCAAGAAAAUAUAACGCAUUAAAAUUCGAGAACUAAAGUAUCACAAGUCUUAUAAAUUGAGACCAAAAACGUAAUAUACUUUUUUAUAUUUUAAUUUUAUUUCAGAAGGAGACAAAGCUCUUUACGAUAUAUUAAACCAUCUAAUAAAUUUUAGAAUGUUUAAUUGUUAAAAUUAAAAAUCGACCAAUCAUAUUUUGAAUAAUUUAAAAGAUUUUAAAUAUGAAAUUGAUCGCUAAUUAGAUUAUAAAUAUGGCAUUAAAGUUUGAUAUUAAAAUGAAAAUAAAGAUGUAUAGAAUAUUUUAGAACUAUAAACUAUUUUGAGUAAGCUAUCAAACCUUUUAAAAUUUUGAUUUUAUUAUUUAAGUUUUCUACAUGUUAAAUUUGAGUCAAUAAAUAAUACUUUAACUUCAAAAUUUAAAUGCGUCGUUAAUUUAUAGAUUUAGUUAAUAUACUUCACAUGAUUUUUGCAACUAAAUUUAUUAAAAUAAAUAUUAACUUAAACUCUAUCAAUCUAUUUUUAUUAUUUAUUGUAUAAUUUAUAUCUAAGUGAUAAAUAUUAUAAAAUUAAAAAAUGUAUGUUUAACAUAUAUAACCUAUAUGAUUUAAAAAUUAUGUAUAAAAAAUUAUAUAUUUUGAAUUUUAUAAUAAAAUAGAUGAGAAUUAGAUUGGAUUUUAAAAAAAUCCAAUUCCUUCAGUUUUGAUUAGUGGACAGUGGAAAGCGAAAAAAUUAAAAUUAAAAUAAAAUUUUUUUUAAAAAAGGUUGGACCAGUCCCAACCCCGACUCGCUCCCCCUCAAGCAAGGGUGUAAUGUGGGAAUUAUUAUUAUUCGAGUCAAGUUAUAUAGUUCUAGUGUAAUCAUUGCUAGAUUUCUGGAUGAUAGAAAAUAUACUCAUUAAUUGUCCAUUAAUAAGAAUAAAUAUUGAUUCCUAACAAUAUUUUUACUAAAUGAUUUGAUAAAUUAAUAACAAACUUAUCAUUUUAAAUAAAAAUAUAUAAUAUUUUUGAAAUAUCACAAACUUUGAAUCAAACAGUUCUUUAAUAUUGGUUAGACUGUUAGGUGGUGUACGAAUUGGCCGUGAGAAAUAAUUGAUUUGUUCAUGAUAAUUGUUAGGAUUUUGCAUUUGCUCAAACAUAUAAUUGUACAUGUUAUGUUACUAUCUUUUAGAAGGGUACAUCUCCUCAAAUGUAUCAUCGUAUAUGUUAUGUUGCCAUCUUUAGAAGGAUUGUAAAUGCAUGAUAUAAAACAAGUAAUAUUACAUACCUCCCGUUGUAAAGAGCCACAUGGACUAGAGUAGCUGUUAUCGCCGCAAAACAAAAACCAUAGGAAACCACCAGGAAUGCACUCAUGUACAAUGGUGAGUAUUCUUCAUAUGCACUCUUAUCCAGCUCAAAUCUUUUGCUGUCCAGCACCCUUGAAAUGUUGUAUUUCCCACCGGUCUCGUCGAAUGUCCCCGCGCUGAAAAUAGGAAAUCUUCUUGCAUUGUAUGCAUUCCUCCAGUAAACGAGGGGAGUUACUACGUAAACCGCGAGAACGAACCCAGCGAGCGUGUUAAAUGUUGCGAAUGCUGGACUGGCCAUGGGAUUGCCGAUCGCAGAGAUGGUCGACCAGUCAAGCCCGAUCGAGCCAACCCCAAGACCAGAAAAGCCUGACCCAAUCUGUUGCGCCGUGAUUGAGCUCUUCCAAAUCCAGCAGGCGAAUGAUAGGGCCGUGAUCGAGGGGAAGAAGUAGUUGGGAACAACAUAGUAAGCAAAGCUCGAGACGGCGACAAUCGUGAAGAACUGAAUUUUAGUUAGGCCUCCCUUUUGUCUCACUUCUACCUCAUGAAACGCCCUGGAAAGCAAUGUAAGGUGUGUAUGCGUGUGUGUGUGUGUGUGUGUGUGUCUGCGCGCGCGUAUAUAUAUUUGGCUGACGCAUAUGCAAGUAGCAUUACGUAAUAUAUGCAUGUUAAUUUACCUGUAGGUAGAAACAUCAACUAAAGUCGAAGGCCACCACAUGUACGGAGAGUCCACGAGAAACUUCAUAAACACACCAGCAAACCCAUAACCCAUCACCUGCACAAAUUAAAACAUAAAAUUUCAUGAUGCUAGCUAGCUAGCUCCUAAAGAGAUGAUAAUUAGGAAACUUAAUUAGCUAGAAACGGUACACGCACGCAUGCAUAUUUCUGAACCAAAUUGUAUCUGUGUUCCCUGAUCAGACACAUGCAGACAUAUAUAGAAACCGACCUGAGAUGUUUGUAUCAACAGGAGAGCAGCCCAGGGAUUAAUCUCCCUGUGGUAGAACGCUUUCAUUUGAGGUACCACCUCACUGGCAUAAGGGAUCCAAGAACCCGACGAAGCUAGAAUCAUGACGAGCGCGUGCUCUUUGAUAUUGAAGGGCCCGGGAUUUAGCGAAACCUUCCAUCCGGUCCACGGGAUUCUCAAGGAUUUUGCGGGGAGGGUCGCGGCCAUCAAUCUUCCGAGCGCAAGGAGGCCUAGUUGUGGCAAGUUUGGGUCUAACCCGAUCUGAUUCUGGCGAUAAUUGAAGAAUUCAUUGAGAAAGGCUAUAAGGGCACAUGAACUGAUGCCCAGGACCCAUGUUCUGAGCGUAAGCACCGGCAAAUCCUUGUUGUCGGUCGUCGGAACCGUGAGCCUCACCUCCUCUAUCGGAGAAUCAUCAUGCACUUCACCUACAUUCACCAUAAGAAAAUUAUCAUUUACGAAUACUUUUUCUUUUCAUAUUUAACGAUUCUUAAAAGUGUUCCUAUAUAGUCUAGGAUCACAAUUGAAAAUGUCCGUUAAAAUAUUGAUAAAUAAAGAGUCGCUACGUACAUAUCGGUAUAUGCCGAGUGUUAAUUUGUAAAAUACAUUCUAACGUUUUAAAGGCAUUAGGUUUUUUUGAGAUUUUUUUUUGAAAUACAACAUUUUAAAGAAUCAAAAAAUUUAAAAUAAUAGUACACUUUAUCAUUCAAUAAAUUGGUUUGAUAUAAUAGAGUAUUUAUAUGACGAUAUUGUUUAAAGUGUCGGUUGUAGGAACGUUUAGAAACGCUUCUUCCAUACGUGGUCCAAAAAAUAUUCUUGUAUUAAGAUGUUCUCAUAGUGAUUAUUAGGAUACAUAUGCCAUCAUUAAUCCUAAAUGUUGUUCUAUGUUUGUAGAUCCUGAGAAUUAAUUAAUUGUUUUCUUCGGAUCACAAUGACUAUUUACAUGUCUACAAGUUUGAUUCUAUGGCUGUUGAAAAAUAGUGUGACAAAGAAAAAUAAACAGCUUGAAUAAGAACAGGAUAAAUAUACUUAAUUUAUAGAUGUGUUUAAUUGCAUAUAUCAAUUAGCUAAACAUAUAUACAAAAUGAAAAACUUGUGUGGUGUUUGAUUUCAUGUAAAUCUACUAGAGAUGAUUUUUAGGAGAGAAAAUUAAGCUUUUCCCAUAAAAAGAAAAUUUAUAUAUUUAGUUCUCUUGGUUCAGCAUCAAUAGUAGAAUAAUAUUUUAAGCAUAUUUUUUAAAUGAAACUUUGAAAUAAUAGAAAAAUAGUGAGGUAUGGUAAAAAAAUAGUGUAGGUCCAUGAAGAGGUACAUAAAAGAGACAUUUACACAGCGGGCGUGAUGGGUCCAUCAGAGACAUUGGAUUUUUUGAUAUGUCCCACUUCUUUGUGAAAAUGCCGCUUAAUUUGUUGAUGUAGUCUUUAACAAGAUCAAUCUUAUUGAAGUAAUGUGAACCGAAAUAUAAUGCAUCUUAUAUUUAAAUUUUAAAAAUUGUUCUAAUUUAGAAACUUUUUCACCCAUAUAUCAAUAGCAUAUUGAACAUGAAUAUAGACGAAUUUAGCCAAAUAAGAAAGAGGAAUAAAUGCUACUCAUUCAAGUUUUUUUUUCCUUUUUUUGUACUAUAUGACAGGAGAUAACAAAUGAACAAGGAAAUAACAGAUUAGUAAUGUGCAUUUUAUGUCAAUAAUUUAUCGUCAAUAGAUAACAGUUUUAUAGAAGGAAAAGAAAUUAUUGUAGUAUAAUUACGAGCAGUAUAAAAGGAAGUAAUUGGAGUAAUUGUACAGCUAAGUUAGAGUACUAUAUAUACAAUAUUAAUAUUGCAAAUCGGUCCCUAUACUCUUCAAAUGAAAAGAAACGAUAUAUAUUUUUUUAGAAAUAAAUUUAAGUAGAAAUAUAGACCAACUAUGCCAUGCAAGGCUUUUUUUCUUUUUUAAAUUUUUACUAAUUUUAUCUCGAAAAUAUUUAAAAUUUACAAAAGCAUUAGCUAAGCAUAUCUCAAAUGACAAACUUGGGUGAUAAAAAGAGAAAAGCUUUAAAAACAUUUUAUGCAUAUUUUUAAGCGAACCUUUUAAAUAAUGGAUAAAUUAAGGGAUAUGGUAAAAUAUUUGUGCAGGUCUAUGAAAAGGUACAUGAGAAAGGCGCUUACACAAUGGGGGUGAUUGGUCCAUAGAGAUAUUGCACUUUUUGAUAUGCCCCUCUUCUUUGCCAAAGCACCACUUUGUUGAUGUAGUUUUCGACGAGAUGUUACUGAAACAAUUUGAGCCCAAAUAUAAUUCACAGUACUUUUAAUUUUUAAAAAUUGUUCCAAUUUAGAAUCUUUUUGGUUCACGCAUCAAUACCUGUAUUGAACAUGAAUAUAUAUAGAGGAAAUUAACCGAAUAAUAAAGCAGAAUACUUUUCUUUCUUUUUUGCACUCAUAUAGUCAUAUGAUAGGAGAUAAUAUCUUAACAAGGAAAUAAUAAUAGAUUAUUAAUGUGCAUUUUAUGUCAAUAAUAAUUUAUCGCCAACGAAUAAAAGCCUUCCUUGUAGGAUGAAAAAAAAAUACUGUACGUAGUAUAAUAUGCACAAACCAAUAGCUAAGAGCAUAGUAAAAGAAAAUAAUUUGGUAAAUUGUACAGAUAAUUCGGAGUACUAUACAAUAUCAAUAUUAAACGACAUCUUUUUAUUAAUUUUUUUAGAAAAAAAAGAUAAUAUAUUAUCUGCUUUAUUUUCAAUAGGAAAUUAAAUUUAGCUACAACAGUAAGAUUUCUAAGCCUCUCAAGAAAAAAGGGCAGCCAAAAAAACAAAAAUCUUUUUGUUUUUUUUUGUAUCGUAUUCUUUUUUGGGGAAGAGAGAUAUGUAGCAAACUAAGUCCUACAAGAAACUUUUUUAUUAGUUUCCUCUCAAACAUAUUUUAAUUUUAAAUGCUUUUGUACCAAAAAUUUCUAAAGCUUAUUACUCAUAAAUAGCAAUAAAUAAUUUAUAAAACUAAUAUUAAAAUUUAAAAAAAAUAAAAAAUAAAAUGAAAAGUGUGGCCUGGUUUGGUAUAAUUAUCAUUAAAAAAAAAAAAACGCUAAUUCUGUAUAGUUUGAUUUGUUGUAAGAAAUAUAUAUAUUUUUUGUUAGAGUUGAUUAGCUUGUAAUGCAUCCAAUCAAGUUCUAGAUGACAACUUAUUUUAAAAAAAAAUAUUAGAAGCAGAAUAAAAUUAUUUUCAAAUUUUAUUUUUUAUUGUUAAAGUAAAUAAUUUGAAUGAAAGGAUUGCAAACAAUAUGUCACAUACUCCUGCGCCUUUUGAUAUAUAAAAUUCUAUCUAAAAAAAUAAAAAAUAAAUACGAAUUAAUGAAAAAGAAAGAGUGCCUUCUACGAAUUGAAGGCAUAAAUGAAUUCAUGAAACUGCUCGGAAUUGUUUUUGGCCAACAUUUAAUUCAGAUGCAGUGAAAAAAAAUUACAGGAAGAGGAAGAAUUGUACCUGUAUCUCGAGAAGUCGAUAUAUUUUCUCUGUCGAAAAAAGUUCCAGCUUAACCAAUUUUGCAUUCGAAAGGCAAGAAAUACAAAUUCGACUUUCACAAUAAAUACAAAUUUUUUUUUUCUAUUAAUUUGUUACCUAAUUGAUUGGACACGAAUGCUACCUAAUUAAAGAAAUAUGAAGCGAGAUAUAAAUUGUACCUAAUCAAAAUGAUAUAUAUAAAUGAGACCGCUCUCUAUUAACUAAAAAGGAACACAACUUGUCCCCCUUAAGGAGUGCUCUAUGCACCCAUACGAUGUUAUAGCCAAUCCAUAAAUAGUAUAAUAAAACCUAAAAUUGCAUAUAGCUCUCGAUCGGUUAGAUGGCGCUGGAUCACCCACCGAUGCUUUAGCAUCUAAUUCUUGUACAACUUCUUUCUGGAGGUAGGUUACAGAUUCUGGUGAAAGUUAAAGUUUUCGUAUGGCUACUUCUGAAUCUUUAAAAGCGUGGGUACUAAGACGAACAACUCGAGAUUUUUUGUUACUAACAACAAUUGUGAUCAUCUUUUCUGUAAACUCUGUAUUUUUGCUAUCACACAGGAGACUUUGUAAAAAGGGUGCCUAGAUGGAGUGAAGAUGAAAAUCUUGACGAAGUUUCAUCUGUCCGUCCACUAACCCAUCAUUAGAAUGCGAGCUUUAUUUAUAGUAAGAUAUAGAUAUAUAGCAGAUUUUUAUUAAUUUAUGGCAUGGGAAAAUUGGGUUUACAAUCAUCAAUUUUCUUGGUUUCCUUUUUCAUAUAAAGUAGAGAACAAGUCAUAACAAAACUGCAAAUACAGUAUACGGUUGAAUAACUUUAAAAAAGGAUAUGAUGAUAUAUAUUAACAAUGUAUACAAGACAAUUUCCCCUCUAUCGUAUUUUUGUACUAUAAACAUGUGUGUUUGUUCAGCAGCUGCAUGAGAAGAACUCCGAACUCUGAACUCCAAACUGUAUUUGCAAAUGAGUAGAAUCUAAGCAAGAAGAAUUUUCACGAACUCCGAAAAUCUUCAGGCCGUUGCAAGCACUCCUGGGGAUUGGCAUAGAAAUAGUCUUCUUCCUUGGGUCGAUCAGGAAUCACCACUCGCCUCGAAGGCAUUCCCAUGCGAUCCGAAUGGGCCGCCUUUAUCGAAGAGGAGAAUUCACCCCACCGCAAGGUGUCACUGUUGUAGCGGUCGACGAGCUCAACAAUAAGUUUUCGAUUCAAUAGGAUUGUCUUCCUGAAGCCUAAGCAUCUGCGAUGGCCUUCGACAACUUUUGCCAUGUUCCCGUCGUACGUUGGAACAAAUACAUCGCUUUCUAGCGAUACUAAAUAAUCCAAAGCCGCCAUUUGAGAUGAAUGGUUCUGGAAUAAUCUAAGAUCUGAAGGCUCCAGGAUUGUUUCCUUCCUGACCUGCAUAGAAUUGCUGAACAAAUCAGACAAAAUUAUAUACAAAGAUUGGAAAAAGGGGGAGAGGAUGGAAGUUUAAUAGAUAAACCAUAUCUUGUAUUGCAGACACACCACAUCAGGAUAAGCUGCAGUAAGUGCAGCCAUUCUCUUCUGCUUGCUGUAUAUUUCUCCCGCUGCGAUGUAUAUUUGGACGCUGCGAUCAAUAUCGAGUGCCCUCAGAACAAGAGCAGUCUUUUCUGGUGUCAAAGGACAGAGACCUUCUUUCCUCUUCAAAUAGGAGUUGAUAACUUUCUCUUUCCACCAUGGAUAAGCAUAUCUGAAAGCCAUUCCCACGGUUUCACAUUAAGCCAACAUGAACUCAGGAUUCAAAGGCUAGAAACUCGCACACGACCAUUUCAGUAAAACAACCAUUUUAAUCCUCUUAUGCGAUUCGUAAAUAAGUGUCUUAAGAGUCACAGUUUUCACAAAACUACAGAGAUGUCAAGCAUCUUAGGCAAUCACAAUAAAGGGUAAAAUGAAAGGGAAACUGAUCAGCCAUACCUCAUUCUCGUAAGCUCUUCUGCUUCUUCGUCCGUGCAACCUUGGGUACAGCCGGAAAAGGCCAACAUGUCCAUUUCAUAGCGUAAGUGAAGAACCAAAAAAGGGCCAUUUUGACGGAGAAUUUUGAUCACCUGUUUGCCCAAUUCUUCGAUUUGAGAGGUAAAUUUCAGAUUGGCAUAAUUCACUCGACAUCGCAUCUUAUGAAUCUCUAUAGGAAGGCCAUUAUUAGCAAGCCGGGCGUCGGUUCUAUUCAAAUGUAUGCUUCCGAAUCAAAGAAAGAAUCUGUUUUCAAAUUAAACUGAAUCUUAGCACUGUUACUAAUAGAGAAAUGAUCAAAAUCAUUUAACGCUUGAAAAAGACAUAAGAAAACCUGAUUUUGGUAAUAGGAAAUAUCAGACCAACAAACAGGUGGCAUGGAAUAAACCAUCCCUAGUUCCACCCUUCUUUUUAGCCUUGGCGGAAGGUGCUUUAAUAUUUGGACCUCGUCUCUUAAUGAAUUUAUAUAAUGAUCCACAUCAAAUAUGUCUUGAAAAUCACUACAACAUUAAAGAAAGUUGAAAAAAAUAAAAUUUCUUAAUCUUAAAGAAGAGAAGAAAAGUGGAAGCUAAUGGAAAGAAAAUUUUGCUUUAAAAAGACAAGCACACCUGGUAUCAGCCCAAAACGAGGUCUUAUCAAGUUCUGGUACUAUUAGAGUCACAUUCAAGUAUCUUGCAACAGUAACCAUAUCACAUAUCUAAGGAAAUAGAGUGAUACCCAAGAAGAGUCGCAGCAUAAGAGGUUAUCAGAAUUGCAUUUUCACUAUGAUAAGACCAAAAUUCUAAAGCAAAAGCAAAUAAAUAUAGUUAGAAAGUCACAAGUCUAAACAGAUGCUUACAGCUGCUCGCAUCUGAUUAAGCCCCCCGUUGCAUGAGACCAUUAGAUAACCACUAUUCUUGUAGAUCCCUAACGAGAACAUAUGUAGUAUCGAAUGUGAGAUGCAUGAUAUACAAAUGUAACAAGUAAUAUUUUAUUAGACAAUAAUAACACUAGAAGUGGAUUAAUUAAAAGGCCACCAAACAGCUAAAGGAAAACUUUCAAAACAAUAUCUGAAUGAAGAACAAUAUUAAAAUGAUUUUAAGUUGGUGGAUACAAUGAACAGAGAUUGGAUAAUAGAAUUCACAAAUUGUUGAUUCAUAAAGUGAGAGAUUUACAAAAUAAUAGGGUAAAUGUCCAAAUGGCUCCGCAGGAAUGGUCCUUAAUGUUAAGACAACCUCGAUAACAUGGCCAAACAACAAAAUCAUAAAAGCAAAGCAAUAAGCGGAAUCCGUAAUGAUAAAGACAUACCAGCUAAUAACAUAUAACGCAACCAAAAGCAACCUAAAGUUAGGAGAAUUAAUUAAACCAAUAUAAUUAUAUAAGGUGCCCUAAUUGCUUACAGAAGUGAUCAAAAGAACACCCGAAUGAAAAAAGCCAAAAUUGACAUCCUAAUUCUGAGGCCACACUUUCUGGAGAGUCAUUCAUUUUAGGACUAUUCUAACUCUAACACGCUUAACUCUCUUAAUUUUUUGGACUAACCACCGCCCAAAAUUUUAUAGUUAGGUUAAGAGAUUUAACUCUAUUAUAUCUUACAUAAAGGACAAUUCUAAAUCCCGGAGUCUUAUAUUAAUAAUAACAGAAAAUUAAGCAAACAAACAAACGGAAGCAACAAUGCAAGUUUUCUUCUUGCAUAUUGAAAGGUGGAGUUCUCACUUUUCGGGGGGAGGACGACGAGCUUGUCUGCCACCGAAGAUGGGGAGGUGUAGCGCAAGAGGACCAUCCUUUGAGGACUGCUGGCCCCCAAAUCCCCACGACCGCCGUUAGCUGGACGAUGCAUGUCCACAGAAGAGCAGCGACGGCGGCGCACACCAUCCACAUCUUCAUAUGCGAUCUUGACAGGACUGCUGCUGCUGCCGCUGCGGCAGCAGAAACCUAUAAACUUCUUCUUGCAGUCGGUAAUAUAAGAUAGCGAGAAAGAAAAAAAAACCGACGCUUUGUGACGAAGUAGCGACUGCUAAUGUUGUUGCUGCUGCAGCCAGCAGUAGAAGCAACUGUGUUCUUUACGGCUACAGCUGAUUCUCCAGGUACCAAAAAUUUUUUCUCGCCCCGCCAAUGCUGCCCCUGCAUCUGGACUAUUGCAUCAUGUUCAACGCCAUUGCAAAGCCGUAGGAGCUGUGUGGGGGCUCCGUAUCAUGUUAGUAACACUAAUUCCUAUUAAAAUUUUCUUCCAAAACUGCACUUUUUUCCCUGUAUGUCGCUAAAUAUAUGAUGUAUAUUUUCAUUAUCAUUAACCAUCUUAAACUAGCUAGCUUAACUAGAUGGGUAUGUGUUGAUGUGUUGUUUUUUGAUGACUAAACUAGCUAAGUACAUAUCUAGCUAGCAAGCUAUGUAUAUGUUUUUGUAUCGUUGUUCUCUAUGACUAAUUUUAUGAAACUGUACCGUAUCAGCAUAAUAACAACUCUAUUUUUUUCGGCUUUCAGUAUUUACAAAUUAACAAAAAUAAUUUACAUUUAUAGUUAAAAAUUCUUUCUUUUUUCUUAUUUGCAAGUUGACUCACAUAUACAAAACAAAAGUGUAAAAAAAGAAAAAAGAAAAAAAAAAGAAUUGAGGAUAAACAAGAAGAGGAUGAUACCUGAGCUCGAGUAAAGUACUAUAUAUAAAAAGAUAAUCACAAAGGAGCAAAUCCUUAGGAUAAUAAACAAGACCAAAUUAUCAUCAAUUCACCCCUAAAUAGAUGCCAAUUCUCCUAAAAAUAGUCAGAUAUUAUCAGCAAAAUAUUAUUAGCAAAAAUACGAGUUUUACAUCAGAUGGUACAACAAGGUAAUUUAGUUUUGUAACCAAGUCACCACCAAAUACCACCAGAAAAAAUAAAGAAGGGAAAAAUUAUGCCCCAAUCCACAUUCCCGUUCCCACCCAAAUCCCCCAAUCGGAACCGUGGAAUGCCAAAAAUUAACACCUAUUUUGCGAGAGGAGGAGAGGAGGACGAAGAAGAAGUAGAAGUAGUGAGGGGGAGGGGGAGGGGGACGGGGCAGGGGUGAUAGAGGAGGUGGCAGUCAGAGGACCUGGCGAUCGGCGGCGUCGGCGACGAGGGGCAACCUGGGGAUUUCGCCGAGGAGGCAGGCGGUGGAGCCGUAGACGAGGGAGACGAGCAAGAAGAAGAAGACGGUGCUGUCGACGCUCUGCAGGAUCUCGUAGCCGACCCCGUCGCUGGGGGCGAAGGACCGCUCGAGGAGGUCGGGGAAGAUGAGGAGGACGUCGAGGACGAUGGCCUGCAUCGUGUUGAACCGGACGUAGCGGCUGAAGCGGGAGGGGUUGCGCACCACCGCGAAGUAGAGGGUGAGGAAGAGGAGGAAGGGGGUGACCGGGGAAGAGCGGAAGAGC